GUGGGUAGCUCAGUGGUAGAGCUCAUGCUUAGCAUGCACAAGGUCCUGGGUUCAAUCCCUAGUACCUCCA
rnacentral:tRNA from 1 species